AUUGAACGCUGGCGGCAUGCUUUACACAUGCAAGUCGAACGGUAACAGGUUAAGCUGACGAGUGGCGAACGGGUGAGUAAUGCAUCGGAACGUGCCCGAUCGUGGGGGAUAACGCAGCGAAAGCUGCGCUAAUACCGCAUACGAUCUGAGGAUGAAAGCGGGGGACCGUAAGGCCUCGCGCGAUUGGAGCGGCCGAUGUCAGAUUAGGUAGUUGGUGGGGUAAAGGCUCACCAAGCCGACGAUCUGUAGCUGGUCUGAGAGGACGACCAGCCACACUGGGACUGAGAAACGGCCCAGACUCCUACGGGAGGCAGCAGUGGGGAAUUUUGGACAAUGGGCGAAAGCCUGAUCCAGCAAUGCCGCGUGCAGGAAGAAGGCCUUCGGGUUGUAAACUGCUUUUGUACGGAGCGAAAAGGCUCUCUCUAAUACAGGGGGCUCAUGACGGUACCGUAAGAAUAAGCACCGGUUAACUACGUGCCAGCCGCCGCUGUAAUAC
rnacentral:rRNA from 1 species